rnacentral:rRNA from 1 species
UACGGAGGGUGCGAGCGUUAUCCGGAAUCACUGGGUUUAAAGGGUGCGUAGGCGGUGCAUUAAGUCAGGGGUGAAAUCCCCCCGCUCAACGGGGGCACUGCCCUUGAUACUGGUGCGCUAGGAUUGGCGCGAGGCAGGCGGAACGUGGCAUGUAGCGGUGAAAUGCUUAGAUAUGCCACAGAACACCGAUUGCGUAGGCAGCCUGCCAGAGCCAUAUCGACGCUGAGGCACGAAAGCGUGGGGAGCAAACAGG